GAAACCUGGAAAUUUUUCGACGCGUCUGACGAGGGUGACGAAGUUCGCGCGCUCGCAAACUUCCACUACCCGCGGGUCUCCGAUUUUCAAAAUGGAGGCGCGGAUCGAAGGCAGAAAGAAAACGGGGAACGAACGCCCUCGAAAUCGAGAUUCUAUUAUAGGUGAGUAUCGAAUUACUUGAGGAAAUUCAAACCUCACCGUCAUGGCGUCACGCCUGCCAACGAGAUGACCCCACGCGAAGGAAAUAUGUAUGUACAUCCUCCGAGGACUCUCGUUCGGGUUAAAUUAUGAAAAAAAGUAACGGGAAGAAGACGCCAUUUUGCGCGCACCUCAACAAUAAACAAUCGACAACCGAGACAGAAAAAUCGACCCCCGCAGGAACGAUUCGAGUUCCGUGCUCAGGUGGGUAGGUCUUCUGCAAUGCAAACACGCUACGUUCACCACGUUCGGAAGGUGCGGAACCGCGUCCGCUACGGUGUAAUGGCUGUUUUGGAACGUCAAUGGCACUUCGGCUAUCAGGUCUCUGACAUCCGUGCGGCAAACCGAGAGAUUCUUUCAUUCUUAUUUUGCCAUUGGAAUAAUAUGAAUAUCAUCUGUACCGUUCGCAUGCUGUGGAAACGCCCAAGUACAAGUAUAAAUACAAUAUUGAAGGUGAAAAAAAGGAAAAGAAACGACGAAAAAAAUCUCUUCGGCCAUGUGUACCCUCCUGUACAAACGUAUAGACGAAUGAUUAGAAGAAAACAAAAUGGCGGCUUUUGCGCGGCGUUGACGAAGAAAAUCUGGACGAUACAAUAUAAAACGAAAAUUUGUGAGAACUAAUCGAAGAACGUGCAACCAAUAACAUUAUGACAGCUGGAAUGGUAUAUACAUGUAUACAUGUAUAUGUAUCCGGUGAUCAUGAUCCAAUGCAUAACUUCAAGGGUCAUUAGGCAAGCGACGUUUAUGAUUCUUCGAACGAAAUUCAUGUCUUGUGUAAGCGCCUUUCCAAAAUACGGAGUUAUCGACCAAGGCGAUGGACUACCCUGGCGAUUUAUCGAUCCGGUGUAAAGCGCUACCUGCGGCGUUCGUCGUUUCAGUUUAUUUAUUUUGAAAUAGAGAAAAAUAAAAAAACCUUUCCUUCAAAAUUCAUUCGCAAAAGGUAAAAAAAUCGCGCGUACACCUCAGAAUGUAACUAUAUGCCAUUCGAAGAACCGGUUGUCAAAAAGAUCAUGCCGAAAAGUCCGACCUUCCUUUUUUAAAUAUUUUUUCCAGAUGUCUCGCAAUGGAAGGAAACUCGAACGACAACAACAAAAAAAAAAAAACAGGCAAAAUUCCGUUUCUUUCGUUUGAUGAAAAAAAAUGAAGAUUUUUUCAAUUCCGCUAACAGCUGCGGACCGGACUUUUUUUACUCGCAUAUAUUCGUAUAUACAUACGUAUACCGUAUUUAUACGCUGAUGAAAAAUGAAAGUAAAUGAAUAAAUAAAGCGGCGGACUCGAAUGCGGCAUUUUCUUUUGACGGUACGACAUUCGAAUGGCUCCGCGGAUGAUAAUUUUCAAUGUUCUCACAGUGUUCAGCAUUAUUGUGGGUAUAUUCUCUUUGUGCAGUAUGGCCAGCAAACACUCCGGAUAUGCACCGUCCAGGACGGCCACAUCCCAUCGGGAUCCUCGGUUCCCGUUCGGUCUUCUCAGCGCCGCGAUCGAGCUCUUGUCCUUCAGCAACGCCUCGCAGGACUCCCAUCCGUACCUCAUGGCGUCCCACGGCGACAGGGGUAGUUCGUUCCUGAAUCUCGAUCCUACCAGAUCCCAUUCCGAGGUAUAAUUUCCAACGUACGCCUUUCGUCGGAGUCGGACGUGGUGGGAUUGAGGAAAAAUAAAUAAAUAAAUAAAUAAAUAAAUAAAUAAAUAAAUAAAAGGAACGAAACGAACGAGUGAAAAAUAAAAAUGGGCACCUCGACGACGCCACGUACGUGUGAAAUGAAUCUAAUAGUUCGAUUAUAAGUACGCGGCGCGCCACGUUCCGAAAGAAUAUUGCGCUCUUUUUUUUUUUUAUUUUUUUUUUUUAUUUCAUUUCUCAAAUACGUACACGUUUUGCAACCGUGUGGCGCGCGACCAGUUCGGUUCGUCGACGGUAUACGAUAAAUAUGUAUAAAUGUUUGAAACGACUAGACGUGCACGCGUGAUUUUUGCGGCAACGCCGACGUUGUGCCGCAUGUCCAUCGACGAUCUCCGUGUGUAACAAUUAAUUAAUCGGUUCCAGCUCGACGCCGUAAGUUCGUUGACUUUUGUACUCGGGAGUCGACGGAAGACGAGACAAAAAAAAAAAAACUAAACUAAAAUAAACUAGACCAAAAAUCGAAUAAUGGGAGAACGGUAAAUUUAAACUCGAGAAGAGAGAGAAAAAAAAAAAAUGAAACUAGAUAAGGAAGAAGAGCAACGAAAAAAUUGCCGUGCAAUUACAUCCGGUUGAUGAAAUAAUUCGUCACGCGCGAAUCGAACGAGAAGAAAAAUCGAAGAAAGGAAAGAACACAAUUUUUUUGUUACUUUGUAUUUCACAAACACGCGCACACACACACACAGAGAGAGAGAGAGGACUGUAUGUACUAUAAUUCGUACAGCGGAGAAAAGAUCGGGAUACAUUUACGUAUGGUUAUUCCGAGAAGUGGAGGAACUGGAGCGUUGCGACGACGACGCGGGGCCGGUGAGAGUUGAAAUUCUGAAGCAAAUUACAUAAUCUCGAAGGCUCGCGCGCUGAUAUUUUUUCGUCGUAAAAAUCGCGUCAUUAAUCUGCUCUCAACAUUUUGUCAGAUCGACGUCACAAAAGCCAGAGAACGUGGAAUAGGAAGAGGAAGAGGAGUGACCGGAUAAAGAAGGAAUAGCGGACGGUUCUCACCUCCAAAAGCGGCGGUACGAAUUCCGUCAGAGCGUUGUUGGCCGCGGGUCCUGCGAACGCGCUGAAAAGUGUUACGUUGUGACCUCUGACCUUGAGUAUGCUACCGAGGGCAACGAAUGGUACCGUGUGCGAUUUCGUACCACCCAUCGUGGCCAGCAGCACGUUGUAACCGGCCGCCGACUCGGUUGAAAAAAAUAAUUGACAGGUCAGUAAGAGGCAGAUUAUUUCGUGCGUUGCCAUCGUCGUCGUUCUUGUUGUUAUUAUCAUUGAAAACGUACGCCUUUCGAUAUCAAAUUCACAAAAUUCAACGUCAUAAAGUUUUUAUGAGUAAAAAAAACUCGUGCGCGGAUCAUACGUGUAUCGUACGCACACUCCUCGGUACGUGUGUGCGUGGAUAUUUUCUUCGCCCGUUUUCUCUAUUUCGGCUAAUUUGGUUUGGUUGCUUUUUUUUUCUUUAUUUUUUUUUUCUUUCUCUCUUUAUUAUUAUUCUAUCCUGUUUUUUUGCCUCUGCUUUUCUUCUCUCUAAAACCACCCGAUUUCGUCCAUUACCGCUGUUGGAAACACGUUUUUUUACAUAAAUCUCUUGAAUUUUAAAUCCUUCUUCUUCCGGUGCAGAUCAACGGAUAUAUUAUUAUUAGCACAUUAUACAUGUAUAUACACGGUGGGACGACACUUUUUAUCUCAUUUUCAUCGCCGUGUACACGCGAUUUUUUUUUUGCUUAAUUAUUCAUAUCUUCGUUUCUCAUUACUUUUUACGAUCGUUAUUGUUAAUGGUUUUUUGUUUUUUGUUUUUUUUUUUAUUAUUUCUUUCGAAUGGAAACAGUAAAUAAAGUGUAAUCAAAAACUGUUCCGCAGCUGCACUUCAGACGGCCGCAGCCGCCCUAUAUUCGUUAUUGUAAAAUGUGUCGUUGAGUGAAAACAGAUUGUCAUUUUUUAGUCGAAGUACAAAAUUGAAAAAAACUAAAAAAACUAAAAAAAAAACAAAUGUCCACGUACACGAAAUAGAAUUUUAUUUUACUUAUUUGAUUUAUUCCAAUAUCUUCAUUGGAGAAGAAAUGGAAGAAGAAGAAGAAAGAAACUUGAAAUUCCUUAAUCGCUAUCGAUGGGGGGGCGUUAGUUUUUUAAUUAUUAUUAUUUUUUUUUUCUUUAACUUUAUUGUUCACAGCUAUAGUUUCUUUUUGAAAUUCAUUCGUUCGUUUGUUCGGUUAAAUUCAGUCGCAACGACGACGACGACGUUAUAUUAUUGUACGAUUGACAAAUUUUAUCAUUAAUUUGGUUUUUUGCAGAAACACCGGAAUAUAUUCCACAGGUGUACAGGUAUAACAGAGUCAACACAUCCGUUUCUUUCGGUAUAUAACGAUAUAUAAGGUAAAAUGUUCAAAUCGCGGCGAGCGUGAAAGUGUGACUGGCCAGCAGUUUCAUUAUCAGUUUAGUCCAAGAGAGAGUUAACCCCACCCCCUGUUGGAAGUAGUAGUGGAGGUUCCUCUUUCUGAUGAUAUUUGGAAUUGGGUGCCAAGGUCCUCCGUACAGCAUCUGGGGUGAUCUGAUCUCCCGUGUGAUAAAAUAACACCGUAAAUAGUAACGCGAUAACGUAGCGAGUGCGCGGCGUAUAUACGCAGAGAAUUAAAAACGAGUUAAACCAGGUGCAUUUCAAACGUCAACUGCAGCAUCGCCAGAAGAAGAAAAAGAAGAAGACGAAGACUAAGACGAAGAAGAAGAAGAAAAUAAUAAAAAUGGAAGUAAGGAUAAAAAAGGAAAGCUAAGAAGAAGAAAGAGCGGCGAUCGUGUGACGUAACGAGGAAAAUCGCGCCUGAACUGUUUCGCUUAACUUUUGCUUUGCAUUGCCACUCGGAGAUCGUAAACUGUGUCACUCUGCAGCCGCAUGCACCAUCAACCGUUGCAGAUCGAGCUUAUUCUCAAUCGACGUACCGACUCUUUUUCUGACCUUCUUCAAGGUCGUGACGAUGCCCAAGUAACUGGAGGUUAUCAGAGUAACGGGUACCAAGAGACCGAAUAUAAAUAGAAACGCGAUGUAGCUAUCGCUUCCUAUUUCCGGAUCGUGAACUUCCCAAGAAACGCUGCAGAACAAAUCGCCGGCUUCCGGUCCGUAGCUUCCCCAUCCGAAGAGCGGUGGGAUCGUCAGUGACAAUGAAUAGAUCCAAACGCCGGAGACCAGAUCAAAACUUUGACGUCUUUUUCCGCGAAGGGAGAAUCUGGAAGAUAAGUAUAAUACCUGGGAUACUGGGAAAAGAACUCGUGGAAGGAAAAAAGAAUUCAAGAUAUAUGUGAACGAUCUUCUUCUUCGACGUACGCAAUUGAACGUUAUAUAAUAAUACGCAUUCGGUCGCGUAUAAUAACGUAAUAAGAUAAACAUUUAGAAACCUGAAAGUCCGGUAAGUGACGGUCCAUGGAAAGAAAGGGAGAGAGUUGAUUCGAACAGCUUCGGUCGUCAGCUAGUGUGGAUACCUCUUUCUGUUCCGGUAAAAGUGAAAUCUUGACGCCAUAUUGCUUUAUUAUAUUAUGAAUGUACAUCCUAAUAUUACAUUUGCAAGACAAUCAUAGCGGAGGAUAUACGAUCGCGUACACACUAUGUUGACAAUUUUGUUCCCAUUAAAUCAGAGCAAGAUAAUCUGUAGAAGCGUUCCUCGUUAUUGCGGGUCGUUAAAUUUUUAUGGGGUAAAAGAUUUGUGUAUUUUAACCCGCACGCAUUUCACGCACUUUUAAUACAUAUCACCAUGCGAGAUCACGUUUGAAUUAUGACGUAACACUUAUACAGCUUAAGUAGCCUGAGCGAGCAUAAAAUUAUAAUACAUAAAAGCGUAACAUAGAACACAUAUCAUCGCGUCUUGUUUUCUUAAAUUGAGAUAAAAAAAAAAGAAAGAAAAGGUAGAAAAAGAAAUAGACGGGUGUAAAAAAGGAACGACUCAUUAUACCGCUAAUGCGUGAAAUGUAUUUUCAGGCACGCGUAAAAAAUGUGAAAAUUUUAUGGCGAUUUAUAUUCAAACAUCUUGCGAUAAAUUUUACAGGUAAUAGGUGUAUACCGGUUCCAGGAUCUUGCAACAUUCACUAUAGACAAAUCGAUUAACUAUUCGUACGAUGCAAUCAACCUGCAUGACCCGAUACCCUAGAAGGAAAUUAGCGCUGCUUCAUAUCUGCGAGACGGCCCGCGGAGUGGCAGCUGCGCUUUCUGAUUUCUUGCGACAAACACCUUGAGCCAAUUUUAGGCGCCAAUUUCGCGAACACUUUUUUUCAAGGAAGGUCUUGGCCAACUGGUCAAUAUUUCUCAAUACCUAUUAGUUUGGAGUAAAUAAAUUUGUUGACUUUUAUAAACAAAGAAUGUAUUUUCGAGCGUCGAUACAUGCUUCGGAAUAGCAACUUACGAAUUAUUGACAUUAUCAAUUAUAUUUUCUUCUUAUAAUUUA